rnacentral:lncRNA from 1 species
CUUCGUCGCCGGCCGCCGUAGCUCGCCGUCGCCGGUUAUCCCGAGCCGCCGCCGUCGCCUCUUCGUCACCGGCCGUCGUCGUUCGUCGUUUGGCUCGUUGGUGAGUACCGUUGGGUUCGCCUCGUCGUCCUGUACGCGUAGGUGCCCUCCAAUCGCCCGGCCAAGGUCCAUAGCGCCGGCGAGGUCGUCGGCCGACCUGUGGCUGCCUUGGAUGAUGUCAGCAUGACAUCAUCAUCCUUUCUUUUUUCCUUUUUUUCUAAUAGAUUAAAUCUUCGGAAAAUCAUAACUAAAUAACUGUAGCUCCGUUUCAGGUGGUUCAAGUUGCUAAAUUUUUCUAAAAUCAAGAUCUACAUGUUAAAAAUAUCCACAUGUACUGUGUAUGCUUGUUUUUGUACUGUUUUGUUAAUUUUUGUUUAAUUGCUUUAGUUUCCGACGUUCCGGAGGAGAGCGUUUUCGUUGAGCAAGGUUCGGAAGUGUUUGCGGAAGCCCAAGGCAAGUCACACAGAUCCCAAACAACCCUUUGAGCAUGUUGAACCCGUUUAAAGCUAUUAUUUUAUUUCAACCAUGCAUUAUUUUUGAAUGUCAUCGGGUGGUGAACCUUUUCCCCGUUAAUUAAUGGCCGAAGAUGACUUUAUUUUUCUAUGGGUUAUAAUUUGAUUAGUAUGAACCUUAUAUAUUGGAUUGGUUCAGCUAAAUGCUAUAUGUAAGUUUGCUUAGCUAUGCUUAGAAACAUUAGCUAACUAAAGGGGUUAAUUAUAAACUAUAUUAUAUUAUUCUUAUUAAUUAUGGUUAUAUUUGAUGGUUGCACACGUUGGUAAAUCGUGUGAUGUUAAUUAAUUGAUAAUUAAAACCUGGUUAAGGUGGGUUGUGAGCAUAUGGUUUUGAUGGUUGUGCUCAUGACAAUUAAGGACCGGUUCGCGAGCUACUGUUGUGAAACAUUUACCGUGCCAACCACAAGCCAGCAUGGGCAACGGCUUUACCUUUUGUAUAGCAUGGUUCAUUAUAGUGUGCCAGACUGUGAAGCGGCGAGAAGUCCGUGGGGGUCGCUGGGGAGUCCAUGCCUUGUUUAUAAGGGGGUGACUAUGAUCCGGGAAUGGUGCACUGUGGUGAGUUGUGUUGUGCGAAGGGUAUUGUCACGAUUUCCCCCUUUGCAAUGCCGUGGUGGUAUUUCGGGGCAUGGCAACAUGUGUGGAAUCGUGUCUUGUGGGUAUAGUGGUACACCUCUGGCCAGAGUAAAACUAUUCGAAUAGCCGUGCCAGCGGUUAUGGGCGAGUUGAGCAAUGUUUUUCGUGAUUAGUCUCACACUACUCAUAAAUGUUAAUAAUGUGAUAAUUAAUUUGACUCCUGGUUUGGAGGUUUGAUCUGUACGACCGGGGUUGGUUGUUCAGGUUUGGUUGGGCCUAAGCAGCAUGGGUGUGCUGUUCAGUGUUGAUUAAAAUUGAUGAUUAAUUACUCUACUGUUUUACUUAUCUUAAAUCUUUGCUAAAUGCUGCUUUUGCAAAUGAGCCUAUAUUAUGCCAUUCUUUGGAGUCCUUGUGCACUUGCAUAUUUGCUGUGUGGCUUGUUGAGUAUGUCAUAUGCUCAUUCUUGCAAUAAUUAAUCAAACCUCAGUUGAAGAUAAAGGAUCCAGAAGGAGAAGACGUUUGGCUUAUACCCCAGUUGAGCUGCCUGUGGGAGUGGAGCUGAAGCCAUCGCUAGACUGUUAAUUCCGCUGCUGUUUUCUUUUCUUUGUAAGUAUGUAACGUUAUUUUUAAGAUGGAUUUGUAUAUUAAAUUGUCAGUUUGUGUACCUCGGCUGAUUCCUGGACGAGGAUUUUAUGCACAAAUUAGUUCGGAAAUUACUAGUGAAUUUCCGGGCGUGACAGAUACAUUGUUCUAUUCUUAGAAAAAUUAUAGUGGCAUAUCCACCCGAUUUCAUGAA